GACGAACGCUGGCGGCGUGCUUAACACAUGCAAGUCGAACGAAGUGGCGGACGGGUGAGUAACGCGUAAUCAACCGGCUAUUCAGCGGGGGACAACAGUUGGAAACGACUAAUAAUACCCCAUACUGAAGGAGGAGAUGGCGUCUGAUUAGCUAGUUGGAGGGGUAACGGCCCACCAAGGCGAUGAUCAGUAGCCGGUCUGAGAGGAUGAACCGCCACAUCUGGACCGAGAAACCGCCCCGACCCCUACCGGAGGCAGCAAGUGGGAAUCUUCCGCAAUUGACGGAAUGCUGACGGGGCAACGCCGCGUGAGUUAUGACGGCUUUCGGGUUGUAAAGCUCUUGUAGUUGGGACGCGGUACCGAAAUAGAAAGCCACGGCUAACUACGUGCCAGCAGCCGCGGUAAUAC
rnacentral:rRNA from 1 species